AGUCACGUGGUCUAAUGGUUAUGAUAUCUCGUUCACAGCAGCUGAACUCAUUCCGAGAUGGUUCCCGGUUCGAUCCCGGGCGUGACUA